rnacentral:rRNA from 1 species
AUUGAACGCUGGCGGCAUGCCUUACACAUGCAAGUCGAACGGCAGCAUGGAAGAGCUUGCUCUUCUGAUGGCGAGUGGCGAACGGGUGAGUAAAGCAUCGGAACGUACCGUGUAGUGGGGGAUAACGUAGCGAAAGUUACGCUAAUACCGCAUACGCACUGAGGUGGAAAGCAGGGGAUCGCAAGACCUUGCGCUAUACGAGCGGCCGAUGUCAGAUUAGCUAGUUGGUAGGGUAAAGGCCUACCAAGGCGACGAUCUGUAGCGGGUCUGAGAGGAUGAUCCGCCACACGGGGACUGAGACACGGCCCAGAAUCCUACGGGAGGCAGCAGUGGGGAAUUUUGGACAAUGGGCGAAAGCCUGAUCCAGCCAUGCCGCGUGAGUGAAGAAGGCCUUCGGGUUGUAAAGCUCUUUCGGCUGGGAAGAAAUCGCACAGGCUAAUACUCUGUGUGGAUGACGGUACCAGCACAAGAAGCACCGGCUAACUACGUGCCAGCCGCCGCUGUAA